rnacentral:rRNA from 1 species
UUGAACGCUGGCGGCAGGCCUAACACAUGCAAGUCGCACGGUAACAGGAAACAGCUUGCUGUUUCGCUGACGAGUGGCGGACGGGUGAGUAAUGUCUGGGAAACUGCCUGAUGGAGGGGGAUAACUACUGGAAACGGUAGCUAAUACCGCAUAACGUCGCAAGACCCAAGAGGGGGACCUUCGGGCCUCUUGCCAUCGGAUGUGCCCAGAUGGGAUUAGCUAGUAGGUGGGGUAACGGCUCACCUAGGCGACGAUCCCUAGCUGGUCUGAGAGGAUGACCAGCCACACUGGAAAUGAGACACGGUCCAGACUCCUACGGGAGGCAGCAGUGGGGAAUAUUGCACAAUGGGCGCAAGCCUGAUGCAGCCAUGCCGCGUGUAUGAAGAAGGCCUUCGGGUUGUAAAGUACUUUCAGCGGGGAUGAAGGGAGUAAAGUUAAUACCUUUGCUCAUUGACGUGACCCGCAGAAGAAGCACCGGCUAACUCCGU